AUGGCGCGGCGUCACCCCGCUGCCACCUCAGCCAAGCGCCGCGCCGCCCCUCCAAACCCUAGCCCGCCCCCUCCGCCCGCCGACGGAUCGAUUCCGCUCCUCCACGCGGCGAGCCGCGGCGACCUCCGCCUCUUCAAGAGGCUGGUGAGAGAUCUGGAUAAGGGCAGGGGCCGUCCCAGGGAGGUGGUGGAGGCGGCCAAGGACCAAGGUCUCGUGGCGCUGCACUUCGCUGCCGGGAAGGGAAGGCUAUGGGUGUGCAGGUACCUGGUCGAGGAGCUAGGGGUCGAUGUGGACGCCGUCAAUGAUGGAGGUCGAACACCUCUGCUUGUGGCAUUGAUUCAUGGAAGCAUGAAUGCCGCCAGUUAUCUUCUUGAUCAUGGGGCAGAUCCAGGCAAAGCUGACUACAAAGGGUUCGCCCCACUUCACCAUGCUGCUAAAGCAGGAGACCGUAAAAUGACGGAACUCUUGCUUGCAAAAGGAGUUUCUGUUGACCCAGUAUCUUCUGAAGGGACACCACUUUAUGCCGCUGCCUUGGAAGGGCAUGAUGAAAUUUUGCAAAUUUUGUUGGAGAACAACACGGAUUGUAAUAAGAAAGUACCUGGUAUUGACACCCUUCUUCUUGUUGCUAUAAGUGCUCCCUCACUGAAAUGUGUCAAGCUCCUGGUUGAGGCUGGUGCGGAUGUCGAUGACGGUAUUCUAGCCCCUUUAGUUAUUGCUGCUGAGAUGAAAGGCUCAACUGCAUGCUUGAAGUUGUUACUGGAAGCUGGUGCCGACCCUAAUGUUCCUGACCCUUUUGGUAGGUUUCCAAUAGAACUCGCUGCACUGAGUGGUACAAGGGAAGGUGUUGAGAUCUUAUUUCCUGUAACUUCUUGUGUUCCAACUGUGCAUGAUUGGAGCGUUGACGGAAUAAUACGGCAUGCAAGAGUAGCUAUGAAACAUGGUGCACAUUCAAAUGUAAGAACAAUAGAACAGUUUAAGUUACUCGGGGUUGAGUCUCUCAAGAGAAACGAUUAUUUUAUUGCGGCAACACUGUACAGUGCGGUAUGCUACUACACCCUGUUUCUCAAUGUGUAA
rnacentral:rRNA from 1 species